GACGAACGCUGGCGGCGUGCUUAACACAUGCAAGUCGUACGGUAAGGCCCUUUCGGGGGUACACGAGUGGCGGACGGGUGAGUAACACGUGAGUAACCUGCCCACCACUUUGGGAUAACGCUAGGAAACUGGUGCUAAUACUGGAUAUGUGCUACUGCUGCAUGGUGGGGGUGGGAAAGCUCCGGCGGUUGUGGAUGGACUCGCGGCCUAUCUGCUUGUUGGUGGGGUAGUGGGCUACCAAGGCGGCGACGGGGAGCCGGCCUGAGGGGGUGACCGGCCACAUUGGGGCCUGGGUACGGCCCAGAACCCUACGGGAGGCAGGAGUGGGGAAGAUUGCCCAAUGGGCGCAAGGCUGAUGCAGCAACGCCGCGGGCGGGAGGACGGCCUUCGGGUUGGAAACCGCUUUCAGCAGGGACGAAGGUUUUUGUGACGGUACCUGCAGAAGAAGCACCGGCUAACUACGUG
rnacentral:rRNA from 1 species